UACGUAGGGUGCGAGCGUUGUCCGGAAUUACUGGGCGUAAAGAGCUCGUAGGUGGUUUGUCGCGUUGUCCGUGAAAACUCACAACUCAAUUGUGGGCGUGCGGGCGAUACGGGCAGACUGGAGUACUGCAGGGGAGACUGGAAUUCCUGGUGUAGCGGUGGAAUGCGCAGAUAUCAGGAGGAACACCCGUGGCGAAAGCGGCUCUCUGGGCCGUAACUGACGCUGAGGAGCGAAAGCGUGGGGAGCGAACAGG
rnacentral:rRNA from 1 species